rnacentral:rRNA from 1 species
UACGUAGGGCGCGAGCGUUGUCCGGAAUUAUUGGGCGUAAAGAGCUCGUAGGCGGCCGGUUGCGUCUGCUGUGAAAUCCCGGGGCUUAACCCCGGGCGUGCAGUGGAUACGGGCCGGCUGGAGGCAGGCAGGGGAGAAUGGAAUUCCCGGUGUAGCGGUGAAAUGCGCAGAUAUCGGGAGGAACAUCAGUGGCGAAGGCGGCUACCUGGCCCAAUACUGACACUCAGGUGCGACAGCGUGGGGAGCAAACAGG